rnacentral:rRNA from 1 species
GAUGAACGCUGGCGGCGUGCCUAAUACAUGCAAGUCGAGCGAACGGACGAGACGCUUGCUUCUCUGAUGUUAGCGGCGGACGGGUGAGUAACACGUGGAUAACCUACCUAUAAGACUGGGAUAACUUCGGGAAACCGGCGCUAAUACCGGAUAAUAUUUUGAACCGCAUGGUUCAAAAGUGAAAGACGGUCUUGCUGUCACUUAUAGAUGGAUCCGCGCUGCAUUAGCUAGUUGGUAAGGUAACGGCUUACCAAGGCAACGAUGCAUAGCCGACCUGAGAGAGUGAUCGGCCACACUGGAACUGAGACACGGUCCAGACUCCUACGGGAGGCAGCAGUAGGGAACCUGCCGCAAUGGGCGAAAGCAUGACGGAGCAACGCCGCGUGAGUGAUGAAGGUCUUCGGAUCGUAAAACUCUGUUAUGAGGGAAGAACAGAUGUGUAAGUAACUGUGCACAGCUUGACGGUACCGAAUCAGAAAGCCACGGCUAACUACGUG